GGUGCCCGAAACAUUAUUAAGAAGGAAGGUAAAUGGUCUAGAAGAAAAACUCAAUCUAGCUGUUAUAUCAUGAAAAUAUUCAAAUAAACAAAAAGGAAGUGGCAGACCUAUAAAGUUUUGAGGAAAAGGAGAAUUGGGCAUCUUUCCGGUAAACUCAAGUACACUGCUAAAAUCACAUCCAUUAAAAACAAUAGAGAAUCCUUGGAAAAAGGAAAUUUGGUGAACAAAAUAGGCCAACCAAUAAAUCCAAGAUUCCGCUAGAAGUCACCAUCUAUUAAAAAUAAGAAACCACAGAGUGAAUGUAAACCUUCAAGCAUAAAAUCUCUCCCCUAAACUGAAAUGGAAGAAGCUUGUUGAAUUUCAACUCAAAAUAACAAGCCAACUAAACAUGCUUGAUGCGUUUAAAUAUGUAACCCCCCC
rnacentral:lncRNA from 1 species